rnacentral:rRNA from 1 species
CCUACGGGAGGCAGCAGUGGGGAAUCUUGCGCAAUGGGCGAAAGCCUGACGCAGCAACGCCGCGUGCGGGAAGAAGGCCUUAGGGUUGUAAACCGCUUUCAGUAGGAACGAAAAUGACGGUACCUGCAGAAGAAGGUGCGGCCAACUACGUGCCAGCAGCCGCGGUGACACGUAGGCACCAAGCGUUGUCCGGAUUUAUUGGGCGUAAAGAGCUCGUAGGCGGUUCAGUAAGUCGGGUGUGAAAACUCUGGGCUUAACCCAGAGCCGCCACUCGAUACUGCUGUGACUUGAGUUCGGUAGGGGAGCAGGGAAUUCCUAGUGUAGCGGUGAAAUGCGCAGAUAUUAGGAGGAACACCGGUGGCGAAGGCGCUGCUCUGGGCCGAUACUGACGCUGAGGAGCGAAAGCGUGGGUAGCAAACAGGAUUAGAUACCCUGGUAGUCCACGCCGUAAACGUUGGGCACUAGGUGUGGGUUCCAACCACGGAAUCCGCGCCGUCGCUAACGCAUUAAGUGCCCCGCCUGGGGAGUACGGCGGCAACGCUAAAACUCAAAGGAAUUGACGGCNGAGACGNGCCGACGGACGACGACGAGGGAGUAG